rnacentral:rRNA from 1 species
AUUGAACGCUGGCGGAAUGCUUUACACAUGCAAGUCGAGCGGCAGCGCGGGGCAACCUGGCGGCGAGCGGCGAACGGGUGAGUAAUGCAUCGGAACGUGUCCAUGUCGUGGGGGAUAGCCCGGCGAAAGCCGGAUUAAUACCGCAUACGCCCGAGAGGGGAAAGUGGGGGACCGCAAGGCCUCACGCGAUUGGGUCGGCCGAUGUCCGAUUAGCUAGUUGGCGGGGUAAAGGCCCACCAAGGCGAUGAUCGGUAGCUGGUCUGAGAGGAUGAUCAGCCACACUGGGACUGAGACACGGCCCAGACUCCUACGGGAGGCAGCAGUGGGGAAUUUUGGACAAUGGGGGCAACCCUGAUCCAGCCAUUCCGCGUGAGUGAAGAAGGCCUUCGGGUUGUAAAGCUCUUUUGUCCGGAACGAAACGGAUGACGUGAAUAUCGUCGUCUACUGACGGUACCGGAAGAAUAAGCACCGGCUAACUACGUGCCAGCAGCCGCAGUAA